CGUGCAAACUUGACCCGGCGUAUUCAACAAUUUAUAAAACUCAAGGGGGUAUAAAAGAACCAAGGAGAGAACCGUGAUUUGCCAAAAAUAAAAUAAUGAAUGACGUGGGGAUGGGGUUUGGCAACUGAAAAGUAUGAAUGAAAUGGGUUAUGCAGAUCGAAACAAAAGACCGCGGCACGAUGACGCGACGUGUUGAACAUGUGCGGUGUCGCCCCCUCUUUUCCUGCCCCAGCCCCAGCCCACGACCCGCCAAACCCCUAGCGGCGCUUUGAAUUUGGGGUUACUGAAUCGUGGCGUGAGCGAUGGGAAAUUGGAAAUUUGCGAUGUGGAUGCCUGUCGAUAUAUCCGGCGGGUAAACUGUGCAACUAGAGGAGUAAUUUGAGGGUCGUGAUCAUUGGGGCAUGGAAAUGUUCGUAGGAAAGUGUUAGCAGCAGCGAAAAAUUGAAGAAAGCUCUUCAGAUUAUUAUUUCCUUCUCGCUUAUCAAGGGAAAAAAGCGCUUCUAAUUUUAUUUCGAUCGAUCAACGAUGCCGGUGCUUUUAUAGCCUACUACAGCUGCUGGUACCCCUGCUGCACCAUUGCAUGGAAUCAUGUGACUCCCAGUCACUAUACAUUAUAAAUACAUACACAUAUAUUACCCUGCACUACAGGGGAGAAUGUAACGGGGACUGAGUGAACACAAAAUCAAUAUUGAAGAGAGUGAGAAGCAGUCUCAGGGUGGUUGAUAUCAGCUAUAGGGGAGUUCGUUCCUAACUCACUACCCCUCCUCCCCUCUUAGAAGAGAAGUGACAGACAAAUUUUAUUCCAGGGUCUCCUAUUCACCAAAAAAAGGAGAAGAACCAAGAAGCUGCAAAUGAAAAGCAGAGGUAAAAGAGAGAAGUUUAGGCCUCGUCUCCCUACCAUAUCAAAGAUUCACGCUACAUGAUCACGUUUAUAUUAACGUUAUUAUGUACACUCUGUAUAUAUGUAUACAAAUAGGAUAAGACUGCUGAGGGUUGCUAGGAAACACCCCUCUGGUUCUACUUGUCCGUCCUCCACGAGCAGCUCUUCUGCUGCAUCGCCACCGUUGCACACAUACUAGCGCAGCGGCACCUAUGAGUAUAGAAAGGAAAAAGAAAAGAGAAAAAAACUUCAGGGAAAACGAUCACAUGCAGGCAGUUCACAGGCUUUCCCAUGUAGGAACAGGGGAGCGAGCCAUCAUUAUAUUCCAUCCUUUAUUCUCUCUUGUCUGUCCGUUCUCCUCUUCGUCUUUCUGUCUGCAGGGUGUCACGUGCCAUAUUUAGCACAAACCGUCAUCAAUUUAUAGGAUAACGAUCGGCACGGUUAAUGACAAGGGACCCAAUUUUCAAAUCGCAAUGGUGUAACGAGACUGAAUCUUAUGGAGGUACCAUCUUCGAAGCUUGGAAUCCAAGCUCUUGUCAUCGAUUGACAAAAUUUCAAACGAGGUGUAGUGGCAGAGGUGGGUACGCGCAUCUGCGGCCGCAGAGUCUCGAAAAUGAGCAGGUGACGACCGAUACGUUUGUGAAGAGCAUAAAAAAAGAAAUUUCAAAGAAUUUUAAGGACCCAAAACUCCCCUCUUCUUGCCGCGGACUGCACCCUCGGAUGUUAUGAAAUCUUCGGUAUAUAAGACGGGGUCCGUUAAUCUCACAAACAAAUAUAUUUGUGCGGCAAUUAUCGUUGAUUCCGAUAUCUAGUUUUGUGGAACAAGGUCGAUGAUUUUUAUUAUCGAGAGAAGAGAAAAAAUGAUGAAUAAAUAAUCGGCAAGGAAAACUGGUCUUGGGAACGAAUUCCGUUAAUUUUCCAUACCGAUAUACAGAGGCGAUAUUUCCAAAAUUUUUGUCGACCAUCUAAAACGUGAUAGCAAUCGUUAUUAUCGUCACGAGUUCUUUGAUGAAUCGGUAGCGAUAUCGGAUCGUGAAUGUCAAAUAGAUCGCAGCCAACUGUAGCUAUCGAAAAAAAUUUUGCGAAUCUGCCCCGUACAAGAUGAUAAUCUCAAACGGAGUUGGCUGGAACUUUGAGAAUAAAGGGAAAAUUGAUGAAAAAAUCUAAAACACGAGGGAUGAACUUUUUGAUCGAAUAAUCGAAACGAGGUCAUACGUCCCCCAGGUGGAAUAGGAGGUGACGGGAAGAAGGUGAAAAGUUCCCGAACGAAAUAAUCGGUUCCAACAUUUGGUGGAACUCCGGUAGAACGUUAUCUUGAUCAAACAGCAAUAAAAAAUGAUGAUGACGAGGAUAAUAAGUGCAGCCAGCGGGAGCGGGAGCACAGUCAGCGUCAAGAGACGUAAAAUACCCCGUAGGUGCACCGAGAGCCGCGAAGGACCAGAGCGAGGAACGGAGACGGGUGUAUCGAAAAAGGUACAGAGGGAGAAACCGAGCCGAGGCUGGCGCGUGGGAGAGCAAACAGCUAAACCGUUCGAAAUACUAUUUCCCAACCGAAAAAAUGAAGUGAAAAAACUGCGCGAUUAUACGUCAGAUGAUACUCCGGAGAGAGAGAAAGAAAGAGAGAGAGAGAGAGAGAGAGAGAAGAGGGAGAAUGAAAAAUUUUACAGACGUCAUCGGCGAAUCAAUUGCCCGUCUAACGGUUUCCAAAUUCAACGUAGCCGACGAAAAUCUGGAGAGGGAAAUUUGAUAAACGAACAGAAAUUCCAAGUCCACGAUAAGGACCACCUACGACCGGUGCAAAUUUGAGGGAAGAAACGCAAUUUAAAAAAGACAAAAAAAAAAAAAGAAGGAAUUUCAGCAGACUUUUACAUCACGCUAUAGGGCGAUAUGUAUCGGGUAGACGCUCAAUGCAGAUAAGAAAAUUAAGAAAAGUUGACGGAAAUACAUUUGAAAAGAAAUUGAAUAAGAGAAUAUUCGUUUCUCGUUAGAUUUGGAAACUGAAAACAUCUGAGGAAAAAAAGAAGGCAUUCGGACUGUACAGAUUCCAAGGGUUUUUCCCCUGCACCAGACGGACACCUCGAAAUGUGUCAUGAAUGGAUUUUUCACGGUCAAAGAAUUGUCGAAUGGAAAAAGAGAAGGACAAAAAUGAGAAUGAAAGAGAAGUGAAAGAACGUCAGCCGACUAGACGUCGUCGUUGAGGUAUGCGGAGGACGUUGAGGAAGAAGAAAAAAGAAAAAGUGUCGAGGGUGCAGGUUGAAAUAUAUAGCUUCAAGUCAUAACAGGAAUAUGGAUGUGGUGCUCUCUCGAUAGCCAAUGUAGAACAGCGUCUCAGAAUUUGAAACAGUGGUCGAAAAAGUUUGUCGGUAAUCGCGGACAAACUGCGAUCAAUGAUCAUUUGAAAUCUCUUUGGGGUGCAGUGUCGGGAAAUUUUUAAACUCAUCCCGUGAGAGACAGCAACAGGAUAUAACUGAGACAGUAUAUUGCCGCAGGUCUUUAACGUGAUACAGGAAAUGUGGUAUACAGGAAGUGCACGUGGCCUGUCAAACGCCUGUUUUUUUUCUCUCCGCUCUCUGGCACUCUCAUUUUUCACCCCCUUGACGAGAAGAACAAGCUUGUGGACUAUCUCCCAAAUAUGCACAUCAAAAUCUUUUAAGGAAAAUAUACACUGCCUAAAAUCUGAAUGUCACUUGGAGUUUUUCUAAAUCGGUGUGCAACGGUGAAAAGUUUGUUGAUCUGUUUGAAACUUGCCUGAUGGGCUCCUAAUAGCUGACGAUGAAGCAUCCAUAGCAGCGACUCAAUAUUCUGUGCACACCAGCACGCCCUUUAUUUAUACCAAAAGGUCUCACCGAGUACAACCGAGUCCUGAGCAUAAAAGUGAAAAAAUAGAUGAGGAAAAUCAAGAGUCGAAGGCUUCGACGCAACAGCACCUACAGCGAAGCGGAGACAAUCUUUCACUAUUUUUACACUCUGGUCUUGUUCUCAGGGAAGUUCAACGCAGUUUUAUGUCCGUACUGGGAGCGAAUGAUGCAAGGCUCUUUAAUUCUUUUAUCAAUAGUUGAUAAUUGGAAAGAAAUUGUUUGAAGUGGGUAUGACGGCUGGAGGGUAAGAGGGGUGUUUUCUCCCCAUCACAUCGGCGCCGUCUGUCAAGUUCUGUUGCCGCGAUAUCGUUAGUGAUUGAUCACCAGCUUCCCCCAAUAUUCCACCCCUCGUUUCACCGGCCACAGAGUUAUUUCCGGUUAAUAAAAGCACGCACGUCAAAAGAAGAAAGAAAAAGAAAGAGUAAGGAAAAUAGAAAAAACGGAGCGGCGCCAAAGAUAUGCCAUGUGCCGGCUGCUAGCAGAGGGAAAUUCGAUUAUUAUCUCUAUCUGGCUCUGUGUAUCCAGCGAGGAGAUAAUUUUUACUGUAUAAAUAUAUGUAUCUUCGUUCCGUCCGUUCUGCGUGGGAAAUUGUCAAACGGCCCGAAGAUCCUAAAUUUUUUGGUGUUUGUGUUUCAUCCGAGAUAAAUCGUGCGCGUAUUUUCUUAUUUGUAAUUUUUCUUUCGUAUUGGAUGUGUUUAUUACUCACAAGAAAUGGGUUCUUUGGGUAUAUCGCUGCUCGGAAAUCCUUGGGCUUCGAAAUAGGGCCUUACAGCA